AUACAUAGGGGGCAAGCGUUAUCCGGAAUUAUUGGGCGUAAAGAGGGAGCAGGCGGCAGCAAGGGUCUGUGGUGAAAGCCUGAAGCUUAACUUCAGUAAGCCAUAGAAACCAGGCAGCUAGAGUGCAGGAGAGGAUCGUGGAAUUCCAUGUGUAGCGGUGAAAUGCGUAGAUAUAUGGAGGAACACCAGUGGCGAAGGCGACGAUCUGGCCUGCAACUGACGCUCAGUCCCGAAAGCGUGGGGAGCAAAUAGGAUUAGAUACCCUAGUAGUCCACGCCGUAAACGAUGAGUACUAAGUGUUGGAUGUCAAAGUUCAGUGCUGCAGUUAACGCAAUAAGUACUCCGCCUGAGUAGUACGUUCGCAAGAAUGAAACUCAAAUGAAUUGACGGGG
rnacentral:rRNA from 1 species